CAAUAAUGUCUGACAUUUAUUGAAAAUAAGGAAAAGACUUUCUCCAGGUAGUGUAUUAGAGCAGAGCAGAAUGCAGGGGUUACUGUGUUGAACAAAAGGCACACAUCAGAGAGACAGUUGCAAACUCAGAAUACUGCGUUAUGGGCAAAACUAACUGGUCCACAAGAGAAAAUGAGAGACUCGAUUUGGCUGCCAGGAACACCUGGGCCUAGGCAAGAACACAAGAGGUUUCUGGGGGUGGGGAGGAAAUAGGUCUCGCUGAAGGUGACAGAUCCCUUGGGGGGCGGCCAGCUGUCUGGAUCACUGUCCAGGGACUGUGGCCAGCCCAGAUACCUCCGAGGUGAGUCCAGAUCACUAGGAGCAGCAGUCUGUCGUCUGGUGGGGAGGAGAGGGCUUGGCAGCGGCGGCAGUGGGUGGUCUGUCCAGUGUGUAACAGGAGCCCAGCUUGCAGCUGGAGCGCAGGACAGCGUCCAAAUGUACAUGGGAGGGGCUGGCUGGCUGGAAGGAGAGGGCGGCGGCUCGCUCCAGAGUGAGGCCCAGGGGCGGCAGCAGGAGCCUGGAGCGCUAUUCCUGGAACAAAGGCAAGCACUACGCGGGAGGGAACAGGAGCGCAGGGGACAUCGCGGCGGCUCGAGGGGGAGGGAGGCGCGGAGGGAGGGCGCCGGUGGCGACCCUGGCGGCGGCCAGUAACACAGCGGACCCUCCCCAGAGCACCCGCCCCCAGGCCCGAGGGUCUCCCGGCCUAGAAGUCCUCGUCCUCCUCCCAUCCAAAGACUCGCUUCAUCUCGGCCAGAAAGCCCCGGUAAUCAUUGAGGAGGGGGCUCUCCUUCUUGAUGUAGGGGAUCACCCACUGCAGGGCGGGCCCUGUGAGGCGGGUGAUGAGGAACGUCACCUUCAGGGCGUCGCUGGAGAACGUGUUCUCGUCCACGAACAUGUAGGAGCCCGUCUGCACGAUGAACUCCGGGAGUCGGUCGGUAUCGCCGUCAAACGUCUCGGGAAAGGGAAUCGGGUUCCUCCAGCGACGCGUCGCAGGCCGGAUCGGCAAGGCCAGGAGGGCCUUUAUCAGCUGCACCCGACCGUCCAUCGCUGCUCCUCGC
rnacentral:lncRNA from 1 species